UCCCUGGUGGCUCAGACGGUAAAGCAUCUGCUUGCAAAGUGGGAGACCGGGGUUCAAUCCCUGGGUGGGGAA
rnacentral:tRNA from 1 species